CCUACGGGUGGCAGCAGUGAGGAAUAUUGGUCAAUGGGCGAGAGCCUGAACCAGCCAAGUCGCGUGAGGGAAGACGGUCCUAUGGAUUGUAAACCUCUUUUGUCGGGGAGCAAAAAGGCCUCGUGAGGCCACAAGUGAGAGUACCCGAAGAAAAAGCAUCGGCUAACUCCGUGCCAGCAGCCGCGGUAAUACGGAGGUGGCAAGCGUUAUCCGGAUUUAUUGGGUUUAAAGGGUGCGCAGGCGGAGGUGCAAGUCAGCGGUCAAAUUGCGGGGCUCAACCCCGUACUGCCGUUGAAACUGCAUCCCUUGAGUGCGCGAGAAGUAUGCGGAAUGCGUGGUGUAGCGGUGAAAUGCAUAGAUAUCACGCAGAACUCCGAUUGCGAAGGCAGCAUACCGGCGCGCAACUGACGCUCAUGCACGAAAGCGUGGGUAUCGAACAGGAUUAGAUACCCCAGUAGUC
rnacentral:rRNA from 1 species